rnacentral:rRNA from 1 species
UAUAAGACUGGGAUAACUUCGGGAAACCGGAGCUAAUACCGGAUAACAUUUAGAACCGCAUGGUUCUAAAGUGAAAGAUGGUUUUGCUAUCACUUAUAGAUGGACCCGCGCCGUAUUAGCUAGUUGGUAAGGUAACGGCUUACCAAGGCGACGAUACGUAGCCGACCUGAGAGGGUGAUCGGCCACACUGGAACUGAGACACGGUCCAGACUCCUACGGGAGGCAGCAGUAGGGAAUCUUCCGCAAUGGGCGAAAGCCUGACGGAGCAACGCCGCGUGAGUGAUGAAGGGUUUCGGCUCGUAAAACUCUGUUAUUAGGGAAGAACAAAUGUGUAAGUAACUGUGCACAUCUUGACGGUACCUAAUCAGAAAGCCACGGCUAACUACGUGCCAGCAGCCGCGGUAAUACGUAGGUGGCAAGCGUUACCCGGAAUUAUUGGGCGUAAAGCGCGCGUAGGCGGUUUCUUAAGUCUGAUGUGAAAGCCCACGGCUCAACCGUGGAGGGUCAUUGGAAACUGGGAAACUUGAGUGCAGAAGAGGAAAGUGGAAUUCCAUGUGUAGCGGUGAAAUGCGCAGAGAUAUGGAGGAACACCAGUGGCGAAGGCGACUUUCUGGUCUGUAACUGACGCUGAUGUGCGAAAGCGUGGGGAUCAAACAGGAUUAGAUACCCUGGUAGUCCACGCCGUAAACGAUGAGUGCUAAGUGUUAGGGGGUUUCCGCCCCUUAGUGCUGCAGCUAACGCAUUAAGCACUCCGCCUGGGGAGUACGACCGCAGGUUGAAACUCAGAG